rnacentral:ncRNA from 1 species
GCUGGCGGCAUGCUUAACACAUGCAAGUCGAACGGGAAGUGGUGUUUCCAGUGGCGAACGGGUGAGUAACGCGUAAGAACCUGCCCUUGGGAGGGGAACAACAACUGGAAACGGUUGCUAAUACCCCGUAGGCUGAGGAGCAAAACGAGAAAUCCGCCCAAGGAGGGGCUCGCGUCUGAUUAGCUAGUUGGUGAGGCAAUAGCUUACCAAGGCGAUGAUCAGUAGCUGGUCCGAGAGGAUGAUCAGCCACACUGGGACUGAGACACGGCC